rnacentral:rRNA from 1 species
UACGUAGGCAGCGAGCGUUGUUCGGAAUUACUGGGCGUAAAGGGUGUGUAGGUGGUGGCGUAAGUUCUGUGUGAAAUCUCCCGGCUUAACCGGGAGGGUGCGCAGAGGACUGCGUCGCUAGAGUAUGGGAGAGGUAAGCGGAAUUUCUGGUGUAGCGGUGAAAUGCGUAGAUAUCAGAAGGAACACCUGUGGUGUAGACGGCUUACUGGACCAUUACUGACACUGAGACACGAAAGCGUGGGUAGCAAACAGC